AAAAAACUGAACAGAGAAACUGGGUUCUCUUUUUUUUUUUCUUCUCUUCUCCGUUUUCCGUCAGCUUCUUCUAUAGAUUUCCUGUUGAAACGAAGAUUUAAUAGAGGAAUUCAACAUGCAGUUAUACUGAUUCAUCACCAGGUUUUGUGAAUCUCUUAUCAUCUGGUUUUGCGAAUCUCAGAUAUUCUCGAAGAAAUCAAUGUUGAUGAUAAGAACUUCCUGAUGUUGCUGAUGAAUAUAUGGGUUCAAAGGUAUAGAAAGGAAUUGGGCCCAACAAAUGAGGCGAAACAUGUAACUGUUAUGGAAGCAGUCACAUCAAUUCAACCAAAUAGAAUUGCUCCCUCCCGUAUCGUUAUCAUCCAACUCUCCUUGAAACCUAGCUUCACGCUCUCUUUCUGGCUGCAAGAAAAUCAUAAGUCAGAAAUUCUGGAGUCCCCCAUAUUUAUAGUACAACUAUCAGGUUAACUCUUGCAGGUGUGUGGAUUUCAUCAUGGCUGUCCAAGCAUUCACAAGUAGUGGGGUGUUUCAUACUUUUCUUUGCUGCUUAUACUUGCAUCUUUAUUUUCAUACAAAUUACUCUUAUUCUUUGCCUGAUAUUGCGGAGUUGUCGUUACAAAUCUUUUGCAGGUUUUUUUAGUGAUUUUUCUUGGACAAAAGAUAGAGAUAUACUGAAGAAGAAGCCUACAGAAAGUAAGCAAAUUACAACAAUCCAAAGGUAGAAAGGAGUUAGCUACAGAACAUCCUCAAGAGUCAAGACCCCCCAAAAACCAAAAACGUUUAUAAUUCUAGGAACACUUGAUAACAAAGGAUCUCAGCCCUAAAUGUUUUUUGGAGUGGUAUUUUUGAUUUAUUAUCUUCUAAAUGAAAUUGUUUGAAUGUCCUUAUUUUUGGAAAAAAAAUGAAAAAUGCAUAUGACAAAGAUAUUUGUUUGCCGACGUGCAACGCACGUGCACUCCACUUGUACUUCUUAAUGGUUUCUGGAUCUCUCAUGUCCACAUUCAAUGCUAUAGCUUGCUUGCGAAA